GUGUAUGUUAUAGAGAAUUGAAGAGCUCAUGGAAGUGGGAUGAGGAGGGCAAUUUCUAGGUCAAAUAGGAGAAAUGUAAUGGCUACUAAGAAAAAUUUUAUUGAGAAGGGUAGGUGGGCGGAACCUAUUGGAUCAAAUCCACAUUCAUAUGGGCUUACUUUUUCUGAGUAGAUGUUUAUUUGUGGAAUUCAAAAGGCGAUUAGGAUUAAUAGUGAGGCUAGGCUGAAAUUAAUUAUUAGUGCGAUUAGUAUAUUUAUUACUUUUCUUUGGAGUGAGACCAAAACUGGGUGAUUGGAAGUCACAAGUACUGAGUUAUACUAGAAAAGUAUGAUCCUCAUCAAUAGAUGGAAACGUAUAGGAAUAGUCAGACAACAUCUACGAAGUGUCAAUAUCAUGCUGCUGCUUCAAAGCCGAAAUGGUGAGUGGAUGUGAAGUGAAAUUGGAUUUGGCGGAUUAGGCAUAC